rnacentral:rRNA from 1 species
CCUACGGGCGGCUGCAGUAGGGAAUCUUUCACAAUGGGCGAAAGCCUGAUGGAGCAACGCCGCGUGCAGGAUGAAGGCCUUCGGGUUGUAAACUGCUUUUAUAAGCGAGAAAUAUGAUGGUAACUUAUGAAUAAGGAUCGGCUAACUACGUGCCAGCAGCCGCGGUCAUACGUAGGAUCCGAGCAUUAUCCGGAGUGACUGGGUGUAAAGAGUUGCGUAGGUGGCAAGCGUUAUCCGGAUUUACUGGGUGUAAAGGGCGUGUAGGCGGGAAAGCAAGUCAGAUGUGAAAACCAUGGGCUCAACCUGUGGCCUGCAUUUGAAACUGUUGUUCUUGAGUACUGGAGAGGCAGACGGAAUUCCUAGUGUAGCGGUGAAAUGCGUAGAUAUUAGGAGGAACACCAGUGGCGAAGGCGGUCUGCUGGGCAGCAACUGACGCUGAGGCGCGAAAGCGUGGGGAGCAAACAGGAUUAGAUACCCCAGUAGUC